UGCGGAAGGAUCAUUAACGAUUUGAGGAGUUUUCAGUGCUGGUCUCUCGGGACAUGUGCACGAUUCUCCAAUAAUUUAAAAUCUUCACCCCUGUGCACACAUAGUAGGGCUCGAAAGGGCCCUAUGUAUUUUACAAACCCAUUUGUAUGUCAUUAGAAUGUCAUUUUAUCAAGUAUGCUCGCGAGAGCAGAAAGAAACAAAUACAACUUUCAACAACGGAUCUCUUGGUUCUGGCAUCGAUGAAGAACGCAGCGAAAUGCGAUAAGUAAUGUGAAUUGCAGAAUUCAGUGAAUCAUCGAAUCUUUGAACGCACAUUGCCGCCCCCGUGGUAUUCCGCGGGGCAUGCCCUGUUUCGAGCGUCCGUACAACACUCAAGCUCUGCUUGGUAUUGGACCCGCCACCCGGUAACCACGGUCGGUCUUAAAAUUCAGUGGGCGGCCCCNNUCUGGGCUCUAAGGCGUAGUAAUACUUCCUUCGCCUACAGAGUUUCUCCGUGGAAUGGCUUGCCAAGCAACCUCUCCCAACUUUUCCUAAAGUUUGGACCUUCCGGAAUCAGGUAGGGAUAACCCCGCCUGAAACUUAAGGCAUAUCCAAUAAGGCCGGAGGAAAAAGAAAAUCAACAGGGGAUUUGCCCUCCGUAACCGGCGAGUGAAGCGGCCACCGGCUCUCAAUUUGGAAAUCCUGGGUCCUUUUCAGGCUCUCGAGUUGUAAUUUGUAGAAGAUGCUUUCGGGUGUGGCUCCUGGUCUAAGUUCCUUGGAACAGGACGUCAUAGAGGGUGAGAAUCUCGUACGUGA
rnacentral:rRNA from 1 species